GUCAUUCCUACAAGUUGACUUAGAGCUCAGUCACUUUCCAUCUAUUAGAUCCUCUUACUGUCAAAAGCCUAAAACUCCUGUUUGAAGCCCACAUAGAGUGGAAUACAAAUGUGAGGAGAUAAGGUAUUUAACCACUACAGCUACCACACCAACCACACUAUGUCAAAUGCCUUACUAAAUCAUCACCCAAAUGAUAAAGAAAAUUUAUCCCACCUGAGGAGUAAUGCUGUUGGCUGCUGUAAUUCCAUUAUUACGGUUUUUCAUCAUGAACAUUUCAGUGUACUUCUUAGAAAAGAGCAUGCAAGAUCCCCACGAACAUCCUUGAGCAAUU